AUGCUGCAGCACAACGUCGUCCAGGCGCUCAACCAGAACCAGAACCAGAACCAGAACCAGAACCACGUCCCUUGUCCCAGCCUCUGCCAUGGCUCAGCGCCCAAGGAGAGAGUUCAGUCGUGGAGUCAGCAGCACUGCAGCUCCGGUGGGAUCCAGCAGCAGGCGCCUGGUGGCCUCAGCUCCAGAAGCCAAAGCCCGACUCACAGCAGCUUCGGGAGAAGACAAGGAAGUGGCCACAACCACGUCCAGAGCCAGAGUCAUGCAGACAAUUCCACUGGAUUGUCCAGACCUUCCUCUGAGAACCAGGUGAACGACGGCGCACAAACACCUCUGUCCUCCACCACCGGGCCCGAGGACCCAAACCUCCCCCAAGAGGUAAAUCCAUACCACAUCACUGGAUCAUACUGUACUCAUUUUAAAUCACUCAAAUUGUUUCAUGCUUUUCUUUUCCUCACACUGCUUUUCUUGUUUGAAACGGCGACAUUCUGUUUCUGAUGGUCUGCUUGAAAGUCUGUAUCACUCUGAAGCACAUUUAUAAACCUGCUCAUUGUCUAAAGACGUAUAUUUAGAUAUUCACUGCACCAAACAUCAGAGACUUUCAAAAUAGCACAAAUGUGUCAGAGUCAGAAUUCCUAAUUGAAGCAGAGAAACAUUUUUAGGAUUUUCUUGGUCUAAUGAUGUUUGAACUGUUGGAUCUCUUUUGUUGAGUGAGAUCCAGGGCCAUCACUAAUGUGAUCUCUAACGUGAUUUCUAAACAUUUUUAUGAAUGACUAAUCUCCUUAAUACAGUUUUACCAGGGGGAAAUUAGGCAGAAGUAUUCUCACUCACUGGACCAGAGGAAGCAGGACGAUAGAGUGAAGUAGGAGGAGGGAUUCAUUUAGGACGGGUUCUGGUGUAGUGCUGUGUGUAUGUGCAGGGGGGGCGGGGCGAGGGGGGAUUAUCAGCAUCACUCUGAAACCUCCCAUCAAAAGUACAGAAGUCGGCGCUCUCCUCUCCUCGUCGUCUGGUCUGUCCAUCUCCCCCUUUCUCCUCCUUCUCCUCGUCUUCUCUCCACACUUUCUGUCUCUUCGUCGUGGUUGAUGUCUCGCUCUGGCUCUCCCCCGUCAGCCAGUGUCUGCUCCCUCACCUCGAUGUCCGUCCCUCCGGACUCCAACCAAGUUGUCGGUAGUUGAAUGGCAGCCAAACAACGUGAGUGUAGGAUCACAUACUCUGUGUGUGUUUGUGUGUGUGUGGCAGAAAGACAGAAAAGCAUUACAAUAGUCAUUUCAGAUGCUGACUGUGACUGCGCCAUCUUACU
rnacentral:lncRNA from 1 species